rnacentral:rRNA from 1 species
GACGAACGCUGGCGGCGUGCUUAACACAUGCAAGUCGAACGGAAAGGCCAUGCUUUUGUUGCGUGCUCGAGUGGCGAACGGGUGAGUAACACGUGAGUAACCUGCCCUUGACUUUGGGAUAACUUCAGGAAACUGGGGAUAAUACCGGAUAGGAGCUCCUGCUGCAUGGUGGGGGUUGGAAAGUUUCGGCGGUUGGGGAUGGACUCGCUGCUUAUCCGCUUGUUGGGGAGGUAGUGGCUUACCAAGGCUUUGACGGGUAGCCGGCCUGAGAGGGUGACCGGCCACAUUGCGACUGAGAUACGGCCCAGACUCCUACGGGAGGCAGCAGUGGGGAAUAUUGCACAAUGGGCGGAAGCCUGAUGCAGCAACGCCGCGUUCGGGAUGACGGCCUGCGGGUUGUAAACCGCUUUCGCCGGUGACGAAGCGUGAGUGACGGUAAUGUGUAAAGAAGCACCGGCUAACUACGUG